rnacentral:rRNA from 1 species
UACGGAGGGUGCGAGCGUUGUCCGGAAUCACUGGGCGUAAAGGGCGCGUAGGCGGCCUCUUAAGGGGGCGGUGAAAGCCCGGGGCUUAACCCCGGGUCGGCCGUGCCGACUGGGAGGCUGGAGCACUGUAGAGGCGGGUGGAAUUCCGGGUGUAGCGGUGGAAUGCGUAGAGAUCCGGAAGAACACCGGUGGCGAAGGCGGCCCGCUGGGCAGUGGCUGACGCUGAGGCGCGACAGCGUGGGGAGCAAACAGG